rnacentral:rRNA from 1 species
GACGAACGCUGGCGGCGUGCCUAAUACAUGCAAGUUGAGCGCUGAAGGCUGGUACUUGUACCAACUGGAUGAGCAGCGAACGGGUGAGUAACGCGUGGGGAAUCUGCCUUUGAGCGGGGGACAACAUUUGGAAACGAAUGCUAAUACCGCAUAAAAACUUUAAACAUAAGUUUUAAGUUUGAAAGAUGCAAUUGCAUCACUCAAAGAUGAUCCCGCGUUGUAUUAGCUAGUUGGUGAGGUAAAGGCUCACCAAGGCGAUGAUACAUAGCCGACCUGAGAGGGUGAGCGGCCACAUUGGGACUGAGACACGGCCCAAACUCCUACGGGAGGCAGCAGUAGGGAAUCUUCGGCAAUGGACGAAAGUCUGACCGAGCAACGCCGCGGGAGUGAAGAAGGUUGUCGGAUCGUAAAACUCUGUUGGUAGGGAAGAACGUUGGUGAGAGUGGAAAGCUCAUCAAGUGACGGUAACUACCCAGAAAGGGACGGCUAACUACGUG